CGCCUACGGGACGCAGCAGUGAGGAAUAUUGGUCAAUGGGCGGGAGCCUGAACCAGCCAAGUCGCGUGAGGGAUGACGGUCCUACGGAUUGUAAACCUCUUUUGCCGGGGAGCAAGCGUGCGUUCGUGAACGCGCGUCGAGAGUACCCGGAGAAAAAGCAUCGGCUAACUCCGUGCCAGCAGCCGCGGUAAUACGGAGGAUGCGAGCGUUAUCCGGAUUUAUUGGGUUUAAAGGGUGCGCAGGCGGGAGAUCAAGUCAGCGGUCAAAUUGCGGGGCUCAACCCCGUACUGCCGUUGAAACUGCAU
rnacentral:rRNA from 1 species